UGGGGAAUUUUGGACAAUGGGGGCAACCCUGAUCCAGCAAUGCCGCGUGUGUGAAGAAGGCCUUCGGGUUGUAAAGCACUUUUGUCAGGAACGAAACGGGACUGGUUAAUACCUGGUCCUAAUGACGGUACCUGAAGAAUAAGCACCGGCUAACUACGUGCCAGCAGCCGCGGUAAUACGUAGGGUGCAAGCGUUAAUCGGAAUUACUGGGCGUAAAGCGUGCGCAGGCGGUUUUGUAAGACAGAUGUGAAAUGCCCGGGCUCAACCUGGGAACUGCAUUUGUGACUGCAAGGCUAGAAUUUGGCAGAGGGGGGUAGAAUUCCACGUGUAGCAGUGAAAUGCGUAGAUAUGUGGAGGAAUACCGAUGGCGAAGGCAGCCCCCUGGGCUAAAAUUGACGCUCAUGCACGAAAGCGUGGGGAGCAAACAGGAUUAGAUACCCCCGUAGUCC
rnacentral:rRNA from 1 species